rnacentral:lncRNA from 1 species
AAACAGCUACCCAAAACUCCAAAUCAGUCAUUGACGAACACCGAAUCAAACCCCUUUACCUUACCCCUUUUCGAUUUUCUUACUUUUAGUUUUUAUUGCAGGUGUUUCGGCGAGCUCAAAGCUUCAACCGUGGAUCUAAUGAUGUUUCAAUGAGCUUCGUUUUUAGAUCCAUGACGUUUGACUAAGUUUUGUGCUUCCAAAUCUAAACAACCAACAAAUAAGGCAAGUGGGCGUCUUAAUAUGCACAUACAAAUAUAUGAAUACACAAAUGAAAAGAAAUCAAUUUUAACUAUAAAAAAAAAAAAGGCAAGUAGGUGUAUUAUAUGCAUGCCUACAGGCUACAAGUAUAUUUGGGGGUUUUAUGGUUGAAGGCUUUGCUUGUAUUUUGCUGAAAAUUUGAAGGUGAAAGUGGAAAGAUUAGGAGAACAAAGUCUCGAAUUCUUAGAAUCAUUGUGAAAUUUCAAUUAAUUUUUUUUCUAGGUAUAAUGAUGAAAUUGAGUGAAAAAUUGUAGAAAUGUGAUAAGAAAAAUGAAAUUAAGUGACAAAUUGAAAAAUUGUGCAAAGAAAAAUAUGAAGAAGAAAAAUUCUGAAGGAAAAUAAGAGAAGAGGAACAUGAAAAAGGAGAAAACAGGGUUUGGGGGUUAAAAAAAGUUACUUUUUUUAUUUUAUUUUCAACUUUUAUUUUUAUUUUAAAU